GUUCUUGAUAGUCAAGAAUGCUUGACCCCAAGUUGCAGCAGCGCCAGUAGUCUUGGAUCAGGAUCAGUCUCCAAAGUGGAGUUGAAGCCAAGAUCCAAUGGCAAGAGAAAAUGAUUAAGGAACUUGAGCAAGAACACAAUUUCUUACGUGAGCAAAUCAUGGGAGGGAAAAAGAAAUCAACCCAACCAAAAGUGAUUUCCUUGGAAGAGGAUGAUGACAAUGAUGGUGAUAUGGAGGAUGACGACAUUGUUCAAACUUCCCCAAAUAUCAGCGAGUCCUCAGACAGUGAUGAUGUUAUGCCCAGACAGAAGCCACAUCACACACAGUCACUUGCAUCUGCAACAGCAGCUUUGCAUGGUC